AAGGAUCAUUACCGAGUGAGGGCCCUCUGGGUCCAACCUCCCACCCGUGUUUAUUUUACCUUGUUGCUUCGGCGGGCCCGCCUUUACUGGCCGCCGGGGGGCUCACGCUCCCGGGCCCGCGCCCGCCGAAGACACCCCCGAACUCUGUCUGAAGAUUGCAGUCUGAGUGAAAACGAAAUUAUUUAAAACUUUCAUCAACGGAUCUCUUGGUUCCGGCAUCGAUGAAGAACGCAGCGAAAUGCGAAACGUAAUGUGAAUUGCAAAUUCAGUGAAUCAUCGAGUCUUUGAACGCACAUUGCGCCCCCUGGUAUUCCGGGGGGCAUGCCUGUCCGAGCGUCAUUGCUGCCCUCAAGCCCGGCUUGUGUGUUGGGCCCCGUCCCCCGAUCCCGGGGGACGGGCCCGAAAGGCAGCGGCGGCACCGCGUCCGGUCCUCGAGCGUAUGGGGCUUUGUCACGCGCUCCGUAGGCCCGGCCGGCGCCUGCCGAUCAACCCCAAAUUUUUAAUCCAGGUUGACCUCGGAUCAGGUAGGGAUACCCGCUGAACUUAA
rnacentral:rRNA from 1 species